rnacentral:rRNA from 1 species
UACGUAGGGUGCAAGCGUUAAUCGGAAUUACUGGGCGUAAAGCGUGCGCAGGCGGUUAUGUAAGACAGAUGUGAAAUGCCCGGCUUAACCUGGGAACUGCAUUUGUGACUGCAUGGCUAGAGUUUGGCAGAGGGGGGUAGAAUUCCACGUGUAGCAGUGAAAUGCGUAGAUAUGUGGAGGAACACCGAUGGCGAAGGCAGCCC